CAAUAGCGUAUAUUAAAGUUGUUGCGGUUAAAAAGCUCGUAGUUGGAUUUCUGUUGGGAACGACCGGUCCGCCCAUUGGGUGUGUAUCUGGCUUGUUCUCGGCAUCUUCUUGGUGAACGUUGCUGCACUUGACUGUGUGGAGCGCUACCCAGGACUUUUACUUUGAGGAAAUUAGAGUGUUUCAAGCAGGCAUAUGCCUUGAAUACAUUAGCAUGGAAUAAUAAGAUAGGACCUCGGUUCUAUUUUGUUGGUUUCUAGAGCUGAGGUAAUGAUUAAUAGGGAUAGUUGGGGGCAUUCGUAUUUAACUGUCAGAGGUGAAAUUCUAGGAUUGACGGAAGACGAACAACUGCGAAAGCAUCUGCCAAGGAUGUUUUCAUUGAA
rnacentral:rRNA from 1 species